rnacentral:lncRNA from 1 species
UCAGGUAUUUCUGACAACAUGUGCAUUUAUUUGUAUUAGAAGUACAAACGUAGGAAUCCAAAUACAAAUACAGAGGGCGGCCCAGCCACGAGGCCCAGCUGAGGGCACGGCGGGGACGGGACGCACGAAGCGGGGCGCGGCGCCGCCCGUGUCGCCAAGGCACGUCGGGCGCCAGUGCGCCCUCAUUUCACUAGGACACCACGAGCCGCACGGAUAGCGGGGAGCCACGUCCUCUGCGCAGGGGAGGAGGGCGGCGGGACCUCGGGACCGCCCGGAGCCAGGGCCUCCAAUCCCUCGCGGGACGACAGGGACACAGGGGCUACUGGAGGCCACUUGGUGAGGGCGGGUCCCUGCUGGGGCAGGAGGCGCACGCACUGGGGCAGGGCGCGGCCCCCUCGGGGCCAAGCGCAUCCACACCGGUGCUCUAAGAUGAUUCCAAAAUGUUUUCGGAUUCUGGAAUCUCCCGGCCUACCUCCCAUCUGGAGGACAAUGGCUUCACAGGCAGGAAGGAUUCCAUGGGAACAGAGAGCAGUCCGCGCCUCUCUCCUUCCCUUCCUGCCUGGGCCAUCUCCCAGGACCCCUGACAGUUUCACCUCCCACACAGGCUUCACAGAGAGAGGACCCUGCCCACACCCCGGCUGCUUCAAGCCUGACCUGACGCCUUCCUGUGACCUGCGAAUACGACUUCCUAGACAAGGGUGGGGAUGGCUGUUUGCCAUCUAAAUCUUGAAAAGUACUUUUGGCUUAUCGGGUCAACUUGACCAGAAUGCACGAAUGAUCAAGGAGUCGCCCAGGUGUGCACCCCGGUCACAACAGUGAUGCUCAAGGGCUCUCCAAAGGAGGCAGGCUUGUGUGGACCCCAGAGGGACUCCUGAUCAGAAAUUGCAGAUGAAAUUUCUUACGGGUAGAGUUUAAAAUCGCUCAGGAAAAGCACUCAAAAAGAGUUGCAAGAUCAUGGAGUGAAUUCCAAGUGCUUUGUGCCUUGAGAGCACUGAACCGAUACGGUGAUAAGAAUAAUGGUUGGAGACCAGGUGUAAUUCUUCAAGUCUCAAAGGAAAUCACAGAAAAUUUCCAUUUUGGCAGCUGAGAUAAAAAUGAUC